GUAGAAAGCUCCUCCAUCAACCUCAUAACUUCAGAGUUCGAGUUUGAAAAACAAGCUUCGAGCUCAAUUAUCUGUUUUUUCAACUCCAAUUCAAGUGACUCACUCUUCUUGAGUUUUGUAUUCAACUUCACAAUUUCCUCUUCUACAAGUAAGAGUUUUAGGUUCGAAUCCCUUAACUCUUCUUCAUACUUACUGAACUUUUCAUUCAAUUCUUCAUACCUUCGGUUUUCCCUCAUCUUCGACUUAUCAGUAUCCAUCGCCGAACUCAAGUAAACAUUGAUAGAUGAGAUGAAAGAUUCAGAGUUAGAAUCUGAUGAAAACGAAUAUGAUUCAGUCCCUUCUUUUUUAGAACUACCACCAACAGAACUGAAAGACGAAGCUUGUUGAACAGGUUUAUCAGGUGUAACCACUGGAGAGAUUUGAGCCAAACCACUAUUAGGGCCUUUGUUGAAGUUGGCCUGCAUGAAGCACAUGAAGCAACCAAUGAGCAGACCAUGCAACGCAAGUCAUGCGGAUGAAGUGCAUGCAACUCGUAAAAGAUCAAGCUGUUGUAUGUUACCCGAAUGAAAUACAACAUGCAAAAGUACCAUAUGUUAUCUGGAUGAAGUACGCUUUUUUUGUAAUAGGAGACUUGUAUCUAUAUUUGAUUUGACAACUUUUUGCCUGGAUAAAGUUUAGUCAACCUAAGCAGCUUUAGACAGUCAGUAGGUUACUAUUGAGCUGUUUUUGUGCAAGUUACUUUUUAGAAAAUUUAUUGUUCUUUCAAUGUAAUAGUUUAAUAUAUUUAUCUUUAAACAAUUGUAUGAAUGUAAAAGUCAACUUUUUUUUUGUUUCUCCUUCAACAUUUGAGUUUUGCUUCUGUUUUUCAUCUUUCAACACAAAUUUUAGUUCUUUUAAUUUUUGUUUUGUUAUCAAAAACCCAACAAAUGGUAUCAAGAGCCUGUUGUCUUUAAGGGCCUUGGUUGUAUUUUAUUUGUGAGGGAUUAGUGUUUGAAAGAAAAUAAGCAGGAGCUGUUUUUGCUAGCUUAUUUAGUUGCCGCAAAGAUGAGUUUUUCACCACCACCACCACCUGUUUUUUUUGGUGAAAACUACAACAUUUGGGCUAUGAAAAUGAAGACAUAUCUACAGGCACAUGACCUGUAGAAUAUUGUUCUAAAUGACACAGAGCCACCUCCCUUGAGAGCUAAUCCGACCAUAGCUCAAAUUGGGCAACAUAGUGAGGACACUGUCAAGAAGUACAAGGCCAUGUCGUGCCUUCAGAGUGGAGUUUCAGAUGUCAUCUUCACAAGGAUAAUGGCUUGUGACACUCCAAAGUAGGCCUGGGACAAACUCAAGGAGGAGUUUCAGGGGUCAAACAAGACCAGGCAGCAACAACUGAUAAACUUGAGAAGGGACUUUGAGAAUCUAAGGAUGAAUGAGUAUGAAACCAUCAAGCAGUAUGCUGACAGGAUUAUGGCCACAGUCAACAACAUAAGACUGCUUGGAGAUGAGUUUAGUGAUAAGAGGAUAGUUGAAAAUGUCAUUACAACUCUACCAGAGAAGUAUGAGUCAAAAGUCUCUUCUUUGGAAGACUCGAGAGACCUAUCAGCUAUACCCUUAACAGAGCUGAUUAAUGCUCUUUAUGCUCAAGAGCAAAGGAGAGGCAGCAGACUGGAGGAGUAUCAAAAAGGUGCCUUCCAAGCCAAAAGCAGACCAGCCUCGAGCUCCUCUGCAUACAAAGGAAAAGAAUCCUAAUCAAGCAAGCCUAGAUCAGCUAGUGAAAAAAGAUAUCCACCCUACCCACACUGCAAAGGGUAAGUCAUCCGGGUGAAGUAUGUUGGUUCAGGCCUGAUGUGCAAUGCAAAUUCUGGAAAAAAAAUGGGCCAUGCUGAAAAGGUCUGCAGAAACAAAGGCAGAAAGAGACCAAAUCAAACUCAACAGCCAAGAGCUAAAGCUCAAGUGGUAGAGGAAAACAGUGACCAAGAAGAGCAAGUUUUUACAGUUUCUUGCUCAGUAGCUAAAGGAAAAGCCAUAAAGGGAUGGUUGAUAGACAGUGGUUGCACAAACCACAUGACCUCUAAUGCUGGCAUUUUUAAAUCAAUUGACAGAAGCUUCAAAACAAGAGUGAAGGUUGGAAAUGGACACUUCAUCAAACCUGAAUAUAAAGGAGAUGUGCUGAUAAAUACUCCUACAGGUACCAAACUUGUUACAAAUGUCUUGUUUGUGCCUGAUAUUGAUAGAAACUUGCUUAGCAUUGCUCAACUACUUGAAAAAGGAUAUUCAGUAGUAUUCAAAGGCAAAGAAUGUCUGACCAGUGAUCCAAGUGGAUCCAAGCUCGUGUCAGUGACAAUGGCUGACAAAAGCUUUGUUGCAGACUGGAAUUGGGACAAGCAUGAGCCAAAGGAUAUUACUGAAAAUCUUGCAACAUAUCAAGCUGAAGGUAAUCAAAAUGGUCCUGAAAUGGACAUUGAUGAUGAACCAGUCAGAGGCACUAGACCAUUGGCUAAGAUUUAUGAAAAAGCUCAAGUGGCUGUAGUUGAACCAAGCUGCUUUGAAGAGGCUGAAGCUUAACAAGGCUGGAAACAUGCUAAGGUUGAUGAAAUCAGUAUGAUCAAGAAGAAUCAGACCUGGCAUCUAGUUGAGAGACCAACAAACAUGAAGGUUAUUGGAGUGAAGAGGGUGUUUCGAGCCAAGCAAAAUGCUGUUGGUAGCUCAAACAAACUCAAAGCAAGGCUGGUUGUAAAGGAUUCAGUCAGAACUAUGCAGCAUGCAAGCCAAUGAGGAGUGUUGAAAUUGGCCUGCAUGCAGCACAUGAAGCAGCCAAUGAGCAAACCAUGCAACGCAAGUCACGCGGAUGAAGUGCAUGCAACUCGUAAAAGAUCAAGCUGCUGUAUAUUACCAGGAUGAAAUACAGUAACAUGCAAAAGUACCAUAUGUUAUCCGGAUAAAGUACGUUUUUUUGUAAUAGGAGACCUGUAUCUGUAUUUGAUUUGACAACUUUUUGCCUGGAUAAAGUUUAGUCAACCUAAGCAGCUUUAGACAGUCAGCAGGUUACUAUUGAGCUGUUUAUGUGCAAGUUAUUUUUUAGAAAAUGUAUUGCUCUUUCAAUGUAAUAGUUUAAUAUAUGUACAUUUUAUCUUUAAAAAAUUGUAUGAAUGUGAGAAGUCAACUUUUUUUUGUUUCUCCUUCAACAUUUGAGUUUUGCUUCUGUUUUUCAUCUUUCAACACAAAUUUUAGUUCUUUUGUUUUUUGUUUUGUGAUCAAAAACCCAACAGUCUUAAGUUUUACACAGUUCCCCAGUCAAAUAAUCAUACCUCUCGGCCAAAUUUCGAUAAAUACGGUAGAGUUCUUGAACUUGGACAAUCACCUCAGAUUUAGUCACAUCUUCACUAUUGUCUUCCACCAAUUUCAUUAUUUGUUUAACAUUCAGGUCCAUUUCUGCAAGUCAAGAAUCAUUUUAUCAUUUACAAGAUACCAACAAGAAUCCAUAACAACAAGAAUAGUGAAACAUGGUAAAAGUACAAAGACCCCUAGGAGUCAAAUUGCAUUUUGGCCUUUUUACUCAAAAAAUAGGUAAAUUAAUCCCUAUACAAUAGAUUAAAGAGCAAAUUAAUCCUUUCUAACCAAUUCCACCAUCGACUGAAUUCAUUUGUUACCGUUGGACAUCCAUCCCCCCACCAAUUUCCACCAUCAUGUAACACAUAAUUUAAAUUUAAAAUUAAAUAAUCACAAUAAAUUAUGAAACAUAUGAGAGAUUAUUUGAGAUAUGAUUAAAAAUAUAUGAAAAACAAUUAAAACAUGUCUUGUCUUAAAAUAAUAUAUGUACACACUAAAAACCACAUUAUUAGCAUUUAAAAUUUUAUAUAAAUUUAAAAAUAUGAUUAUUUUAGAUUCUUCUAUUUAAAAAUUUUGAAAUAACAAUUCUUUUUAUAUUCGUUUUUCGGUCCAUGCUUGAGGUUCGUGACUACCCCUCUUAAUAAUGUCGUCUCCAAAUUUUAAACCUAAGUUCUCCCCUUGAAAGUACAAUUUACCUUACCAUUACAUCCAACCACUUGUUGAUUCCUUUUAAAAAUAUCUCUUAUGUUAUUCUCCAUUUUUCAAUUAAAUAAAAUUAUCCCUUUUGAAAAAAAAUUAAUCCUCAUACUUGUAUAGACUUUUAUAAUAUUAUAGAAUUUUUAUUUUUAAAAAUAUAAAAAAAUUAACCAAUCAUAAUUCGACAUGUGUCAUGUAUUAACAAAAAUAAGAGUUAAAAUACAAUUUCAUCCUUGUAUUGAUUUAUUUAUUGACAAUUUUCAAAAGGACUAAAUUGAAAUUCUAAUAUUUUUAUGAGGCCAAAUUAUAAUUUUACCAUAUAUUAAUUUAAUAUUUUUUAAAAUUUGAGAGACUAUAUAAAUUCAAAGGCUUUUAAGCACAUAUUUUCUUCUUUAAUUUAAAAUUUUGAAAAAAAUUAUAAAUAAAAGUUAAUUAUAUUAUACUCGAAAGUCUAUUCAUAGUCAUAAAUUAUUCAACUUUUGCAGCCGACAAUAUCAAGAAAAGAAUUGUUCCUCCAACAAUCACUUUCUUUUAUAAUUAAAAAUUGAAAUUUGAUUUUCAAAGCCCUUAAUAUUUCAAACAAUUUGGUGGAAAUUUCCAAAUCAUCCCUUUAUUAUAAAUAAUUUGUUUGAAUUAGUCUCUAUAUUAUUAAAUAAACUGAUUUAGUCCAUGUAUUAUUAAAAAGUAUCAAAUAAGAGAAACUUGGAAAAUACUUAACAUUUACUAUAUAAAAAAAUGUCAUUUAUUGUUUAACAAGAUUAGUAUUUUUUUAAUUUUUACAGUUCUGUAAAUGAAAUCUUGUGUUUUAAAAAAAAUUAUAUUUUCAAGACAUUUUUUAUAUUGCUUUGUUACAAAUUAGAGAGACUUGAAUUUUUUUGAUAGUAUAUAGACUAAAUUUAUUUAUUUAAUAAUAUAAAUUUUAAUUUGGUCCAAUCCCUAUAAUACAAGGAGCUCACGGAACAAACACAAUAAAUUUGAUGCUAACCUAUGAAGUUUUGAAAAUUAAAGUAUGCAAUUAUAAAACGAUACAUGCCUAGUUGACUAUGUCAAAAUGGGAAGUAAAUGGGAUAAAUUCAAUAUGCAAUUAUAUACAUGAAUUUUAUUUUGGUGCAAUUAUACACGUGAAACGCUAAUUGUGGUUCAAAUGUAUACUUAAAACUUUAAUUUUAAUUUAAUCAUACAUAUUUAAAUAAAUAAAUAAAUACAUAUUUUAUUUUUAUAUUGGAUAAAUAUAAUUAUUUAUGUAUGCAAUAUAUAAACAUAAAAUGAUGUUAUAUCAAUAAUCAUAUUAAUAAUUUACAAGAAUUGGAUCAAAUCAAAAUUUCAUAUAUAUAAUUGCACAUUAAAUCGUAGUUCAUAUCUAAUUUUAAAAUUUAUCCAUAAAUAAAAUUUUAAUUGGAUUCAACCUCUCUUUUGCGCAUAUUAUAAUUUAUUCAUGGAGGUUCACAAAAAAAGCAUAAUCAUAAUCAAAAUCAAGAUUAUAGAGUUUAAAAUGAUAAUUUUUUUUGAAAAUCAUGAUAUUUUAGAUUUAAAUUUCAUCAUUAGUAAAAUUUUCAGUUGGAACAAUUUGUCCACUUCAAUUGUACAAACUAUUAAAAAAACCAUAUAUAUAUAUAUAUUCAACCAUAAAUUUGUAUCGAUUCAUAGAUCAAUCAAUCCACCCUCUUAUUUUGAACUGAUACCUCCAUUGAAAAUGUCCAUGAAUCUUGCAAUAUACAUGGCGUAUCUGCACAGCUCACUCCCGAUCAAGCAAGCAUCGAAUUUUUCGAAACCGUGCAGCUUAGUAAGGAGACAUUUUUUCAAAGUGAAACAUAAGAACAUUCGGAUUCUUUGUGGUCCCUCAAACCUCCAUGCAAGGAACCAUAAAGGAUCAUGUUGGUUCCAAGAGAUCUUCCUUAGUUCGUUAUAUGCACUCUUAACAGUGAAGUCACCGUCAAAUGAUUGCGAACUAGGUCCGAAUUCCAUGAGUUGUCAUCCAUCAUAUAGCGUGCACAACACCGCUAAGUUAUGACCUUCAUGAAGCAGGGAAAUCAUAUGUAUGUAUGUAUGUACGUAUGUUUUGUAUGGUAGAUAUUGUAUAUGGUUGAUAUUUUAAGUUGUAUGGAAUUUGGCUCUUUUGGAAGUAAAUGAUUUAGGUCAAUUUGUUGAGUUGAAAUAUGUAGGAUAUGGCAUUUGAAAUUUAUGACUCCUAAUUGUGGAGCAAGAUGAAUGUAUAAUUUGAUAAAGGUUAAAUGCCUUUGUAUGUGAUGUUUGAAAUGUGGUUCCAAUGAGGGCUAUAUUGGUUAGGCUCUUAGAUUGUAUGAAAUUGGCAUGUUUUGAGGUGUAUUUGAUGACAUUUAUAGCCAGGAUAGGUGUGAAAAUUGCCUUGUUUUGGAAGCAAAAAUUGGUGCACAUGGCCAGGGCACGAGCUGUACACGGCCUACUCACACGGUUGUGUGUCUUAAUGAUCUUAGGUGCAGGGCACACACGGUCUAAGACACAGCCAGCGACAUGGUUGUGUGACCCAACAUCAAAUGCACACACGGGUAGGCACACGGCCGUGUGACCUUAAUUCGAAUAUACACACGGGCGGACACACGGUCGUAUGUCUCAACUUCAAAUGUCCACACAGCAUAGGCUGUGACACACGGCCUAGGCUGUGACACACGGCCGUGUGUCCCUUAUUUUCAAAAUUUUCAUCUUUUUCCUAACUUUUCCGUUUUGUUUCAAAUAGACCUCAGAAUAUUUCCAAUUUAUUUUUAGGACCUCGUAAAUUCAGUUUAAGGCCCGUAAGUCUAUGUUUAUUGUGAAUUGCUUGUGAUUUGAUUAAUUGUAAUUAUAUUGAAUAAUUGUUUUUAAGUAGUGUUAAAUGUUUGAAAUGUUAUCGUAAUACUCCAUGACUUCAAUCCGGCGACAGACACUGGUUAGGGGUAUUACAUAUUUUUCUUAAGUUUAAAUUGUCCUUUAUAAAUUUUAUAUAAAUGCAUGAAAAAUACAAAAAUACUCUAUAAUAAUAUUUAUUAAUCAUUAAAAGUUGGUUUUUUAAUACUUUUCUUGAUCGAGUUAGUGUCGAGCUAACUCGUGAUACUGUCUAAAUUCAUGAUGCCAAUUCAAUCAUACACUUAAAUAAUAGUAUAAUUGUUAUUGUUUACGAAAAGAUUAAAAUAUCAAUGUUGAACCCUGAAAUGAAAUCAACAGUUAAGAUUUAAAAUAUAAGUAGAGAUGGUAAUGGAGUGGGGCGUAAUGGUUUUUUGUCCACCCGACCCGAUAUACAUCUAACAUAAUUCGACUUUGAUCCAACUCAAAAUUAAAUAUGAAUUUACUUAUCUUGAACCUGACUCGAAAAAUCAAAGUUACACCCAAUUUCGAUCGAUAUACCACUUCUUUUAAUUUUUUUAUAUAUUUUUAUUAAAAUAGAAUAAUAGUUUUAAAGUUUUUAAUGAUAACAUUACUUUUUUUUGUAGUUAUAGUUAAGCUAGGGAAAAUAUUUUUAUAAUUUUUUAUUAUCAUAUAUUAUAAUCUAAUAUUAUAUAUAAAUGGUUACUUUGGUAAUUACGGGGCAAAUUUUUCUAAAUCGAAGAAAGAAUUGUAUGAAAUUGUAAUUCCACGUCAUCCGUAUCCUUUUCUAAUACAAAAAUGACAAAUCAGAAUUUAAGAUUUAAUCCAUGUACUUUAAAAGUUAAAAUUUCAAAUAUCCUACUUCUACGAUUUGAAAAUUCUAGUUCAAUUAUUAUUAUUUGAAAUUUUUUUGUCAAAAAAAUUAAACUUAACAUGUUUAUUUUUUUUUAUCAAUCAUAUGAAAUAUUAUAUGAUGGCAAUCUAAUUAACAUGCCAAAUUGGAAGAUUUUGAUGGAAAUUAUUAACAAUGUUAAAGAUUGGAAUGAGAUCUUUAAAUCAGAAAAGUAAGAGGACUAAAUUUUAAAUUUUAUCUAAGUCAAAGGACUAACAACAUAUUUUCACAAAAGAAAUUGAUAGACUAAUUUAGGUUUUAGACUAAACAAAAUUUUCAUAUCCAACUAUAUUCAACUUGUAUAAAUAUGGAAGGUAGCAUAUAAUAAUUUUUCAUGGAAUCUAAGGACAAAAAAUAAUUAACAUACUAGCAUGUAAGAAAAAGAAGAAAUAAGGAAAUCAUAUAAAUUGUAUUAUCAUAUAUUUACCGUUCAAACCUCACAAUUUUCAACCUAAAAACAUUACAUUGUUUAAACUCACAAUUGAAAAGCUAAAUAAAAGUAGCAACCAUUAACAACAACCACACACUAUUCUUUUGUGAAACUGAAGCCGCAAUUUUCAGCACCUACCAUAGAUGCUCAGACUAGGCAUUCCCAAUGUGCAAUAUACUUGCAUCCUGGUUCUGCACAUUCAAGAGAAAGAUCUUUACAAUGCUCACCACAUUUAACACAUUCAGGGUAGUAAGGAAAUUUCUUGACAAAAGUGAGAGGGUGUGGAUGGUCUCCUUCAUUGUAGGUGCUCCCAAGUUUUACGAAUGGAUAUUUUCCAAGAAUGCAAUCCACGUGAGCAGAAGUGUCACAAGUUUCGCAAUAGUAAAACUAGUGCUUUGGAUCUCUUUUUUCCUCACAAAUGUCAUAAUAAUGAUAUUUUGCAUAAUCAUUAAUCUUGUCAUAAGAGAGUGCAAGAAGAUGUUCAUCGCAUUUAUGUCUAACUGUAGUUGGUCGCAGAACACAACGAACGCAUAAAUGAAAAUUACAAUCCUUACAACCAUCUGCGCCAUUGAAAUCCGCCCCACAAGCACUACACUGCCCCUUAUUAUCAUAAUAGAAAAGAAGAGGGUGUUUAUGCCCUGGAAUUUUUACAACAUCUUGGAAAUGGUGAGUCAUACAUCGAAGGCAUACUGGACUCCCACAUUCAUUACAUUUAUAAGAAAAUCCAUUAGAAAUGAACCAGCAUGAUUCACAUUUGAACAUGCAGUCUGAAGUAAGGAUGAUGGGUUUUAAUCCAGAAAAUUGCGUUCCUCUACAAAUAUGAGUCGGAACAAGUGUCAUCUUAGGUAAUUCAGCACAAGAUUUUUGAAGAAAGAAAUCACACCGCGAGCAAUGGUAAAACUUAGCGGAGAUCAAUAAUAAGCACCCAUCACAACAUUUAUCACCAUGCUCUCUGAUUUUGUCACUUAACAUCAAGUAGUGCUUAUGCUUGAAAUAUUCUAUUACUGUGGCUUCUCCAGCAUCAUUCCUCUCAAGAACCUCAGUGAUGGAGCUAACAGGUAUAUCAAGAGAUUUGUCAUCUUCAUUUUCCUCUGAAACUAUGCAAUACCAUUUCUUUUCUUUCAGUGCACAAUUCACAUGGAAUAUAACAUUGCAAUAUUCACAGAAGUAACUACCGUGCUCUGUAUCGACAACUUCAUGGCACCAUAUGCAAUUCAAACUUUCAAAAUAUUCCUUGUGAAUGAAAUACUUGUGAAAAACACGAUGGACAUGCAACCCGUGUUGGAUAAUGCGUGGCAAUGAAACGCAUUUUUUAUGGACCAUAAUACUGCAUGUACCACAUGUAUAGGCAACAUGAUGUCCUUCAGUGCCACAAGCAUCACAAAUGUUUGGUAUUUGUCUCCAAAACAAGGUGAAUUGGUGUUGAUGACUUUUAUCUUCGAUGUCCGGAAACAGUGACGCACAUUCAAUGUGAAUAGCCAACUUACAAGGUGAACAACCAUAUACAAGUCCUCUAUUUGGAGUUACUUGGCAUAUCUUGCAAGAAAGCCGUUCACUAUUAAAUUGUAGAAGAAGAGGAUGUUUGCGAUGGCACACAUGACCCAUUUUGGGAGGAAGCUCAGCACACUUCUUAUGCAAAUUAAACCCACAAUCAAGAGAGAAGUAUGUAUAAAUUGCUAAUGGUUCCCAACACACAAAGCACUUACCCAGGAUUCCACCAUCGUUUUUAGAGGAAAACGAUGGAUCCUCAAGGGCAACAUGCUCAAGCUCUUUCAAAUUUCUUUCAGCAAUAUUAAAUGUAAACAAAGCACAUUUAAUAUGAAAGUCCAAGCCACAAGAGCAAUGGUAAAUGAACUUCUCACAUGUUUCAUCACAGAAAUCGCAAACGCACCUUGUGUCAGAAGUGUAAGGUGGAUUCUGCAGAAGCAGGAGAGGAUGGUGACGAUGAAAAGGAUGAUUAAGCUCCACAGGUGCCUCGGCACAUGACUUGUGGAGGUAAAACCCACAGCACUCCACACAGCUAAAACAUGGAGCUGACAAGUUCUCCCCACACCUUGAGCAAUCAACUACUCCAUUGCCAUUGCCAUUGCAAAUCAACUGCUCCUCAUUUAACAUCAACAGUGGAUGUUGAUGCCCAUAGUUCUUUAGCUCUUCCAUUUCUCCUUUCUCUCUUUCGAUGUGGUAGAGAAAAAGAAAUUGAAACUGAAGAACUAAAAGAAAGCAGAAAAUUAGAAGGGAGAGAUUCCAAAUCUUUAUUUGUAUGAAUCUCUUUUAACUUGCUAUGGUACUUUGCUUUGCCUAUAUAUAUUUCUUCUUUAUAAUUACUAUGAAUGGGAUGCAAUGGGUUUGAGUGUAUUCUAAGUAAAUUAUCAAAAAAAAUUCCUUUAUUCUUUGCUUUGUGGAUUAGAUAAUGUAUAUUGAUAGUGAAAGUGUUUUGAUAUUGUUUGUGUGUAAAAAAAUAUGAUAAUAUCAUGUUAACAAUCAAAUUAUUCUAAAAAAAUUUAAAUUAAAUCAUUUAUCUAAUCGAAAAUUAAAAUCUUAUUUAAUAUAUUAUGGUGAUUAGAAUAAAAAUUUUGAACAAAACUAAAUAGACUAAUUAUACAAUUACCGAGCCACCAAUCGACUCUCUUAAAAUAAUCUGUUACAGAGACGACUCUAACUCCCUCGGUAUUUGCCCAACCACUUCAAUCCCAAUGGGGUCAUCAUUCAUUAAACUAACCAUAUAAUUAUAUGUGAACGAGACAUCCCUAUUAUAGGAAUGAUCCACAUUCACUGCGGUACAAACUGAAUCUACAAGCUAAUGAUAGAAACAUAAACCAAAAUAUAGAGUACAUUGUUUGAUUAAAAUUGAAAACAUGGUUCAUAUUUAUCCAUUGCAAUGUUCAGAUGUUCAAUAACAUGCAAAAGAUAUAUAUAUAUAGUCUAAUGACAGCUUCAAGUUUAUCUAAGCAAAUACAUAUAUCACCCAAAACUUCCCACAGAAACUCAAAUUUAAGUACUAACAAGUUCAUAAAACAAGUUAAACGAAAGAUUACAUCAAGGGAAAAAGACAAUCAAGACAAGUAACUAUAACGGUACUCGUAUUUAAUCGAACUCACAAAGCGAUAACCGCGUGUCGUUUGUGCUUGAGGAAUGUCUGAAAAUCUUUAUAACCACUCCUGUAAUGGUCCAGACUGAAAGUAAGCUGUCUUAUUACCUCUCUUUUCUCUUCAGACACAUCUAAGAUCAUGUUCCUUUGCUUAUCCACUUCCUUCUCAAGGUCCUUUAUCUUCAUUUUCAACUCAUCUUCUAGAUUCUUUGUUAGCUGCAUAUGUUCCUUGCUUAAUUGUUGUAAAUGGUCCUCCAUUUGUCUGAUCUGUAAAUCACGAGAACGAACCUCGGCUACGAGAUUGUUUACUGUUGCAGUAACACAAUCUUUGUCUGUCAUAAGCAUAUCAUAUUUCAAUUUCAUUUUGUCAAGGUUCUUAUUCAAAGCUUCUAUGCGUAUACCUUUCUCAUUAAGUUCUGUCCUCAAUUGAUUGAUCUGACCUUGUAAGUUGGUUUCUUGUACGACAAGCAAGCUUUCGAUUUCAGAUUUUUUGGUCUCACAUUGCCUUAUUUUUUCCUCCAAUACAUUUCCAUGUAAUUCCCAUUCCUCGAGUCUUGCUUCUAAGAGAGUCUCUUUUUCUAACAAACCGAAAAUUUCGGAUUGAAAACUUGCUUUCUGUAUAGAGAAAUUAUCUCUAGCAUCACAUAAUGCACCCUUUAGCUCUUCAACUUCGUGACUGCGGUUCAAUAGAUUGUUUUCGUACCUCAAAAUUUGUGCAUUUAACAUUACAAUCUCUUCUUCUGAUGCUUUGAUAUUUUCUUUACUUGUAGAAAGCUCCUCCAUCAACCUCAUAACUUCAGAGUUCGAGUUUGAAAAACAAGCUUCGAGCUCAAUUAUCUGUUUUUGCAACUCCAAUUCAAGUGACUCACUCUUCUUGAGUUUUGUAUUCAACUUCACAAUCUCCUCUUCUGCAAGUAAGAGUUUUAGGUUCGAAUCCCUUAACUCUUCUUCAUACUUAGUGAGCUUUUCAUUCAAUUCUUCAUACCUUCGGUUUUCCCUCAUCUUCGACUUAUCAGUAUCCAUCGCCGAACUCAAGUAAACGUUGACAGAUGAG
rnacentral:lncRNA from 1 species